AUUUAGAAAAGAAAUUAAAAAGGACGUACGAGUGCAGCAAGCAUAGCCGCCAUCGGUUCUCAGGGAAGUGAAACAUGGCUGAAAUGUUAUGCUGAUUUCUCCAGAGUUUUUUUGCCAGGUGAUAGAUCAGGAGCCAACAUUGCUCAUAUCAUCAUGAUGCGAGAAAGUAUAGAUGAAGAUCAUAAACUUAGUUGGAGAUAACUUGAACCUCGCUGGAAUGGCAUUGAUUCACCCCUUUUGGUAGUAUAUUUGCCCUGAAAAUCCCAAUACUGAUGAUCCUCGAUGAAAUCUAGCUGCACGUCCCAGUUUGCUAUCCGAGCUUUGUUGCUCCAACAUUCUGAUAUGCACUGCAGAGAAGGAUUUUAGAAGAGACAGAGGUUGGACAUACUAUGAGGCCUUUAAGAAAUGUGGAUGGAAAGGUGAAGUGGAGAUCAAGGAAACACAAGGGGAACACCAUGUUUUUCAUUUGAAUAACCUAACUUAUGAUAAAGCUAAGAUCUUGAUGAAAUGGUUGACUGAUUUCUUUCAACAAGCAAGCUGAAUGCUUGCUGUGUGUGGGGAAUUUUUAUUGAGAACUAUCAAAACUUUGCUAACUCUUAUUCAAUUUUAUCAAAUGAGUAAAUUAUAUAUUA